CAUCACUGGGAUAGCCGCAGCUGCACGCGACGAGGAAGUAUCGAUUAAGCAAGAGGACACAGACUGGAUGUUUAGAAAGGAAAAGGCCAGAGCAUCUAGAAGC